GAUGAACGCUAGCUACAGGCCUAACACAUGCAAGUCGAGGGGAAACGGCAUUUUAGCUUGCUAAGAUGGACGUCGACCGGCGAAUGGGUGAGUAACGCGUAUCCAACCUUCCGUUAAGUAGGGAAUAGCCUUGCGAAAGUAAGAUUAAUGCCCUAUGUGGUGUUUUGAGGACAUCUGAAGAGCACCAAAGGUUUACCGCUUAACGAUGGGGAUGCGUCUGAUUAGGUUGUUGGCGGGGCAACGGCCCACCAAGCCUACGAUCAGUAGGGGUUCUGAGAGGAAGGUCCCCCACAUUGGAACUGAGACACGGUCCAAACUCCUACGGGAGGCAGCAGUGAGGAAUAUUGGUCAAUGGGCGUAAGCCUGAACCAGCCAAGUAGCGUGCGGGAUGAAGGCCCUAUGGGUUGUAAACCGCUUUUUCAGGGGGAUAAAGUGAGUGACGUGUCAUUCAUUGCAGGUACCCUGCGAAUAAGGACCGGCUAAUUCCGUG
rnacentral:rRNA from 1 species